AGGUUACUGCUAUCGGUGUUCGCCUAAGCCAUGCGAGUCAUAUGUAGCAAUACAUGGCGUACUGCUCAGUAACACGUGGAUAACCUGCCCUUGGGUCCGGCAUAACCCCGGGAAACUGGGGAUAAUUCCGGAUAACGCAUAUAUGCUGGAAUGCUUUCUGCGUAAAAUGGAUUCGUCUGCCCAAGGAUGGGUCUGCGGCCUAUCAGGUAGUAGUGGGUGUAAUGUACCUACUAGCCUACGACGGGUACGGGUUGUGAGAGCAAGAGCCCGGAGAUGGAUUCUGAGACAUGAAUCCAGGCCCUACGGGGCGCAGCAGGCGCGAAAACUUUACAAUGCGGGAAACCGUGAUAAGGGGACACCGAGUGCCAGCAUCCUAUGCUGGCUGUCCGGGUGUGUAAAAUACACCCGUUAGCAAGGGCCGGGCAAGACCGGUGCCAGCCGCCGCGGUAACACCGGCGGCCCGAGUGGUGAUCGUGAUUAUUGGGUCUAAAGGGUCCGUAGCCGGUUUGGUCAGUCCUCCGGGAAAUCUGACAGCUCAACUGUUAGGCUUUCGGAGGAUACUGCCAGACUUGGAACCGGGAGAGGUAAGAGGUACUACAGGGGUAGGAGUGAAAUCUUGUAAUCCCUGUGGGACCACCUGUGGCGAAGGCGUCUUACCAGAACGGGUUCGACGGUGAGGGACGAAAGCUGGGGGCACGAACCGGAUUAGAUACCCGGGUAGUCCCAGCCGUAAACGAUGCUCGCUAGGUGUCAGGCAUGGCGCGACCGUGUCUGGUGCCGCAGGGAAGCCGUGAAGCGAGCCACCUGGGAAGUACGGCCGCAAGGCUGAAACUUAA
rnacentral:rRNA from 1 species